rnacentral:lncRNA from 1 species
AGAAAACUUCAGCAAAAGUGGAGUUGAACCCUUUUGUUUCCUCAACAUGAAAUCAUGGUUGAACAGCAGUGAUUCUGCUAAGUUUGUUAGCUCUACUUGGCAAGCGUUUCAGAGCUAUCCUACAGAACAGACUGAUAUGGAUGGAUUGGUAGAGAGGGAAGACAUUAUUAGCCCAUGGUUUCACGGAUUCACAUAUACUCCAAAAUGUCAAGAAAGAGAGCAACAGAUGUAAGAAAGCCUAAAUUCAGUCCUGAUCUCUGUUAUACUCUGAAGAGUCUAUUCAUGAGAUUAUUAAAGAUGAAGCUGAUCAGAUACCUUUGGUAAUGCCUACUACAUGUGCUAUGAUAUUAUUUCACAGGACAUCUUGUUGAACUUACAAUAUAGUUAAGCUGCCAUAGGUAAACUGUCAUAUCUUUAUCGAAAUAAUACUCUUCUUGUGUAACUCUCAUUGAGUGAAGGCUCUUACACUUCAGCUGUGGUAUAUACCAGAACUCUCUUUAGCAUAGUAGACUUUAAGUUUCCAUACAAAAUUAAAUUUAAAUUUUUAUUUCAUCUGCAAUAUUUUACUUGAUCUCUUUACAUAAUUACAGUGAAUGCUAAUGACUGCGAGCCAGAAACAUGUGUCAGUUCUGACCUACUGCUUCACAUGCUUUUGAAAAUUUUUUCUGAAGAUUUCAGGAGGGAUUAUUGCAGUUUUGUUGUGGCACUAGUAGUUCCAGAAUGACUUAGAUCGACCCAUGGCAAAUGGUCGGGCUGUGUUUCCACCUUUGGGGCAAACCGUCCCAGGUGUACUGAACACAACUCCAUGUUAAAAAAUACUUUGGCUUGCAUUCGGUGGCCAAAGGAAUUGAAAAGAAGGUGUUAUCAAUGUCAGUGUUGGAAUACUACUUGGCUGCUUCUGACUCCAGUUCCUACAGGACAUCUAACAUGUCCAGAACAAAAGCAGUCAGUCGGGGUGUAACUGCAUUCAGGCCAUGGUAGUCUACCGUCAGCUUCUAUUCUCUGGCUUUACGCACUGGCAGUAUGGGGCUGUUUAAAGGUACAGUGUAGGUACUAUGUCAUGUCCAUGUCAUAAACUGCCAAGAACAAUAGCACUGCACUUCUGAUUUAUCCUUCCAUUUCGUCACCAUGCUGAUGACAAAAAGUGCAUCCUAGAUAUGCAUUUUGUUCAUCGAAAAAAAUAAGACAAUAAACAUAAUUGGGUUAAUUGAAAACUAGGUAUAAGCUCACAGUGCUGUUGGACAAUGAGUUAGGUAAGAUGACUGUUCUAAUAUAGAAAGAUGUCUCCUUGACCAACUGUGCAAAUAGAGAAAGCAGUUCUAAACAUCUAAUUUAUUUCCUUUGUAUUUCUAGCAUACCUGCUGUAAAUGCAAGAUUAUAGUUGAAAAUUUUGUACUAUGGUGUAAUUUGUUAAGCUAUAGGCAGACUUCUGCAACUUCUGCAUUGUAAUUUCUGCUUUUUUUUUGGACCACGUUACAGCUUUCUUUUUCUAGUAAAAUAUUUCUAAAUACACUUCAUACUGUGUUUCUAUUUUCUGACUGGCAACUUAUCAGGAAGCAUAUGGUGUAAAAGCAUACUGUAUGUUAUAACUCGAAUAAAUUCUGAAAAGCAUUUUGAUACAUGUACAUUUUUUUAAAGCUUUCUGCAACCUCUUUUCCUUUGAAAUCCCCACUGAGUAGCUGCUCCAAUAAGUAAGAUGUUUAUAUUACAUACUUCUUGCCAUUCUUCUGGAAUGUUGUUAUUUACUUACUGUUUGCUUCCCUUUGGAAUAUCCUACUGUGUAUGAUAUAUUGAUUUCAAAUUACGCAUACUACAACUUUUCAUUUUACUUUUGCUUUUUGUUAGCUUUCUGGUAAUGGAAGCAGAGACCACUGUACAUCACCAUUACUUGAAAUGUCAUUUAAUUGUUUUAAUGACUGUUAAAUGCAGCACACAUGUAACUACCACUACUGUUACAACACCUAUGGCCUUGAAAAGUAUGACAAAAGCAGAUGUGUGUGAAACUGUUUUCUACUUUAUCUACACAUUUCACUAAUGUGAAAUGAUAACUUUUGCUCCUCCUGUAUCCAGUGCUAUCUAAAGUUAUAUUUUACAUUUGAAAUGAAAUUGAUUUCAUUGGAGAGGAUAUAUGGCUAGAUAUUUGAGCACAGGAAGUAAUCUUAUUGAGUAUUUUACUUAGCAAUGAUUUUCCUGUCUGGCACACUGUAUAACACUGUGUAUUCCGUUAUACUUGAGGGCAUUUUUCGAUAACACAUUAACAAAAUCUACAUGCAUUCAUACAUACAACACAUACAUACUACAUUCUAUACAUACUCAGUAAUUUAUCUACUUUCAGUGGGUUACCUCAUAUCAUUAAACUUUACAAAUCAGGUGAUUUGCUCAUAAUAACAGGAACUACAAUUCUGCAUAGAUUAAAGAACAGCUUCAUGCUCUGGUUCAGAACACAAUGUUUUUAUCAAUGGGUACUGCUCUGUGUAGCAAUUCCUCAAGAACUCUGCUGAAAAGUAUCCCUUAUCUUUUACCAUGUGACAUAACUGAAAAAAACCAGGAUACACCUUAUCAAGUUUGUUGCUGGCACUGAAUCUCUCCCAAUCUUGAACAAAGAUUAUUAGAAAAUAGAUGGGUAUAUUUUGACACAAGACAGGUAAACAAAUUAGACACUUUUUUUUUUUUUUUUUUAAUUGUCCUGCGCAAUAGCUUUAGUCUUCGUGAUUUGAACUGCUAAGUAAGAAGUUGUAUGCAAAAAUGGCAUGUAGUUGACAGGAAAAGUAGUGAUUUUUUUUUCUAAUGAGCGUUAAGAAAGAUUCUGAUACUUUAAUUGGAGCAAAAGAGAUGAUGGACUUAACUUUCUUUCACAGCUUUUUUUUCUUAAUCACUCACCCAGUACUUACACACUCGAGUUUUAUUUGCAAAAUAUAUACCUUCUUCAGGAGCCUUCAUUGGCAAUCAUAGUCAAGCAUUAGCCUUGCAGCCUUCACUGUUUUGAGGUCUUCAGGACCAUCAGUAUACAUGACUUGCACUGUAUUGAUCAACAGAUUGCGUCACCAGCUGCACUCUGUUUAAAUAAAAGACACUGGAAAAACUUUCAGAGCUGUGAUGAAACACUUGUCCUCUCCAACUUUUCUGAACUUUGUGGUAAUAUUGUUGCUUUAUUAAAUAAAAAUUUUGCAAUUUCAUGAUUCUAUCCAAGGUGAAAGAUCUGCAGAAAAAAGAAAAUCUCAUAUUUCUUUUCAACCUGAAAGAGUUAGUGUUUUAGUAGCCUUCAUAUGGUGCCUGCUUAUGUAAACUAAUCACUGCUGAAUCUCUGAAAUCUAAUAUAAACUGCAUUUCCAUUUUCCACCUGGACUUUUUUCUUACAUUUUGCUAAAAUAGUUCUGUCCGAU